GAAACACGGACCAAGGAGUCUAGCAUGUGCGCGAGUCAUUGGGAAUUACUAAACCUAAAGGCGCAAUGAAAGUGAAAGUCCGCCUUGCGCGGACCUAGGGAAGAUGGGCGUUCAGCGUUUCUCGCUGUCGCCCCGCACUCCCGGGGCGUCUCGUUCUCAUCGCGAGAAGAGGCGCACCAAGAGCGUACACGCUGGGACCCGAAAGAUGGUGAACUAUGCCUGGUCAGGACGAAGUCAGGGGAAACCCUGAUGGAGGUCCGUAGCGAUUCUGACGUGCAAAUCGAUCGUCGGAACUGGGUAUAGGGGCGAAAGACUAAUCGAACCAUCUAGUAGCUGGUUCCCUCCGAAGUUUCCCUCAGGAUAGCUGGCGCUCGUCGCCUACGAGUCUCAUCCGGUAAAGCGAAUGAUUAGAGGCAUUGGGGUCGAAACGGCCUCAACCUAUUCUCAAACUUUAAAUGGGUGAGAUCUCCGGCUUGCUCGAACUAUUGAAGCCGCGAGACACGGAUCAGAGUGCCAAGUGGGCCAUUUUUGGUAAGCAGAACUGGCGCUGUGGGAUGAACCAAACGCCGAGUUAAAGCGCCUAAAUCGACGCUUAUGGGAUACCAUGAAAGGCGUUGGUAACUUAAGACAGCAGGACGGUGGCCAUGGAAGUCGGAAUCCG
rnacentral:rRNA from 1 species